rnacentral:rRNA from 1 species
CAGGUCAGCAUACUGCCGUGAAUACGUUCCCGGGCCUUGUACACACCGCCCGUCACACCAUGAGAGUUGGGGAUACCCGAAGCCUGUGAGCUAACUUUUAGAGGCANCAGUCGAAGGUAGAAUCAAUGAUUGGGGUGAAGUCGUAACAAGGUAAC